rnacentral:rRNA from 1 species
UACGGAGGAUGCAAGCGUUAUCCGGAAUGAUUGGGCGUAAAGCGUCCGCAGGUGGCGAUGUAAGUCUGCUGUUAAAGAGUCUAGCUCAACUAGAUAAGAGCAGUGGAAACUACAUAGCUAGAGUACGUUCGGGGCAGAGGGAAUUCCUGGUGUAGCGGUGAAAUGCGUAGAGAUCAGGAAGAACACCAGUGGCGAAGGCGCUCUGCUAGGCCGUAACUGACACUGAGGGGCGAAAGCUAGGGGAGCGAAUGGG